AACUGCGAUAAGUAGUGUGAAUUGCAUUUAGUGAAUCAUCGAAUCUUUGAACGCACCCUGCACUCACUGGUAUUCCGGUGAGUACGCCUGUUUCAGUAUCAUUGAAAACACACAAUCAAAACAUUUUCUUUGGUUUGAUUGGCUUUGGGUCUAUCAAAAAGUUUGGCUUGUUUCUUACAAGCCAAGCGGCCUGAAAUAUAUUGUCUGGCUAAUUGCAUCGUUGAUGAUCGCUAUUAGACUUUGGCUUUUUUAAAUGAACUGGAGGUUGAUUAACCAGUUUUAGCUUUAGUCAAUGGUCAUUGUAAAAAAAAUCUCGAUCUUGGCUAGGUGUUUAUAGCCGAAAAUUUUUUUUUGGCUAUAACCGAAACCAAUAUAAUCACAUUUAGUUAUCGAUCUGAAAUCAGGUGGGACUACCCGCUGAACUUAAGC
rnacentral:misc_RNA from 1 species